AAUGAACGUUGGCGGCGUGGAUUAGGCAUGCAAGUCGAGCGAGAAUCCCGGUUCGCCGGGAGGACAGCGGCAAACGGGGUAGUAACGGGUAGGUGACGUACCCUCGGGACGGGGAUAGCCACGGGAAACUGUGGGUAAUACCCGAUGACCUCUGCGGAUCGGAAGGUCUGUGGAGCAAAGGUGAGAUUCCACCUGAGGAGCGGCCUGCCUCGUAUUAGCUGGUUGGUGAGGUAACGGCUCACCAAGGCGACGAUGCGUAGGGGGUGUGAGAGCAUGACCCCCACCACUGGGACUGAGAAACUGCCCAGACACCUACGGGUGGCUGCAGUCGAGAAUCUUCGGCAAUGGGCGCAAGCCUGACCGAGCGACGCCGCGUGUGGGAUGAAGGCCCUUGGGUUGUAAACCACUGUCAGAGGGGAUGAAAUGCCAGCCAGCUAUCUGGCUGGUUUGACAUAGCCUCAGAGGAAGCACGGGCUAAGUUCGUGCCAGCCGCCGCCGUAAAAC
rnacentral:rRNA from 1 species